rnacentral:snoRNA from 1 species
UUGCAAUGAUGACAAGAAUUUCUUCACCUGAAACACUGAUGGUUUAUAGCUUUUUAACCCUGAGCACU